CACCGGCGGACGGCUCAGUAACACGUCGGUAACCUACCCUCGGGAGGGGGAUAACCCCGGGAAACUGGGGCUAAUUCCCCAUAGGCCUGAGGUACUGGAAGGUCCUCAGGCCGAAAGGGACUUAUGUCCGCCCGAGGAUGGGCCGGCGGCCGAUUAGGUAGUUGGUGGGGUAAUGGCCCACCAAGCCGAAGAUCGGUACGGGCUGUGAGAGCAGGAGCCCGGAGAUGGACACUGAGACACGGGUCCAGGCCCUACGGGGCGCAGCAGGCGCGAAACCUCCGCAAUGCGGGAAACCGCGACGGGGGGACCCCGAGUGCCGUGGCAACGCCACGGCUUUUCCGGAGUGUAAAAAGCUCCGGGAAUAAGGGCUGGGCAAGGCCGGUGGCAGCCGCCGCGGUAAUACCGGCGGCCCGAGUGGUGGCCGCUAUUAUUGGGCCUAAAGCGUCCGUAGCCGGGCCCGUAAGUCCCUGGCGAAAUCCCACGGCUCAACCGUGAGGCUUGCUGGGGAUACUGCGGGUCUUGGGACCGGGAGAGGCGGGGGGUACCCCUGGGGUAGGGGUGAAAUCCUAUAAUCCCAGGGGGACCGCCAGUGGCGAAGGC
rnacentral:rRNA from 1 species